GAAGUGAUGUCAUAAUACUGCGACAUGAUCCUGCAUCUGUGAUUCCACUGAAGAAAGGGUCUGGCUGCAGACAUCAGGACGUUUCUCAGAAUGGCAUAUUACCACACAACUCCUACUCUACUGCUUUAUGCUGGGUGUAUUCUGUGAAUGAUUGGACUGAAGUCAGGAUUUUACUCUUGGCGUGAGAUUAUGCAGCAGGCUGAAUCAAGGAAAUGUGCCCCUGUUAACUUGUGACCUGCGUUUACCUGUUUGAAAAUCAACCAUGGGUUUAUUAUACUAAAACGUAUUUUACAUUUUAUAGUGUAUGAUGGUAACGUACAUAUCAUGGAGUCUCAGACAAUAGUACAUUUGAAGCUACUAUGGCUUUAUUACCAACGCUAUCGUUAAAAUAUUUACUAUAUUAAAAACAUGGUACAUUUUCUUCACAGACUAGCUGAUGUCUCAUUUAAGAUAAAAACUUAACAUUGUUUUCUCUGUUAUUUUCUUGUAGAAAUACUAUUCAAACAUGUGACCUGAUAUACUAUUUGAAUUUAAUAGUAAAUGAAAUGUAAACAUUAAACUCCAGUUGAAAAGCUCCUAAUAUACAUUACUUUGUAAACGUGUUAAAUUGUGCUUUGCGUUUACUUAUAUUUGAUUAGCCCAAAACAGUCUAAAUAAAAACUUUUAGAAUGAAUCAACUAGUGAACGCAAGUCACAAGGUAACACAUUUACAAAGUAAGCUAAAGCAUUUAUAGAUGUGCUCAAAAUUAUUCAUACCCUUGCUGAAUAUGAUCAAAGAAGGCUGUGAAAAUAAAGCCCUAUUCGGACGGGACUAGUUUUACAGGGGGUCGUUAGAGAAAUCUGCGUUUCACAGACGUACUUGGUGAUUUUAAUCCCGUCCGAAUCUGCCACGUCUGUGUUUUUCUCACACAACCUCUGUGAUAAUUCCAGAGCAAAUUACCUACCGUUUUUCAGCAAACUCAGUGAUCCUCUGAGAAAACUAAUCCCGUCCGAAUGCGAAUGUGUGUGAUUGCCGGUGAUAUUUUAUUUCACAACGUGUUUCCUUGUGUGUUUUGGCCAACGUGAAUUACCGUAGAUGGCCUUACCGCGCGGAUGUUUGAUAUAUUUGCUUAGCGGCAAAUAAAUAAUAAUAAAAAAAUAAUACAAACAAUAAAAUCAAGAGCAAGAUCGCGUAAACUGUUAAUACCGGCUAUUGUAAUAUCAGCAUCAGGUAAGAUUACUCACGCUCAUUUAUGUACUCAGUUACAUAAUGUUUUAAUUACAUUUAAUAAAAAAAAAAAAAAAAAGGAAAACAAGUUAAACUAAAGGAACCACACAUUAACAUGGUUUUGUUAUACCAGCCAUUUAGUAUUUAUUGUGUAAUAAUACUAAGGCAGUCAUUCUGAAUGAAUGCAAUGCACGCAUACAGAGUGCGUGAUCUCUGUGACGCCCAGAUGCACAAAACAGACCCUCCCACCUCUGUAAUAAACACGGAGAUGUUAGUCCCGUCCGAAUUGGUACAUGAAAAUCACAGACGUCAGGUGGUAAGAAUCGAAACUCAAACGUAGUUUAGAAAACUAGUCCCGUCCGAAUAGUGCUUUAGUCUGCAUUUGUAAAGGUUACACCUUGAUCUUUAAUUAAAUAAUAAUAAUAAUAAUAAUAAUUAUAUAUAUAUAAAACCUAGGGCUGUGCAAAAAAUCGAAUGCGAUUUUCAUGUACAUCUCAUCAGUAAAGGCGCUCCUGUAAUUAGUAGUGUAUCUCCAGCACGUGCGUUCAGAUCAGUGUUGCCCGGUUUUCACAACAAAUCCCGCCCAGUUGCUUCUCAAAACUAGCCCAAUCGCGUUUCCAGGAGGUUCCCUGAUACAAAUAGCUUCUCGGGGUUAAAAUAUAGGUUUUUUGGCUGAGUUGCCUUGGUAAAAUUCACAUUUUAGGGGCUAAAUAUCAUGUUAUUGGUAUUGGGGUUGCUUCAACCCGCGGGUAUGAAAAACAAUGUUGCUCCCAUCCAGCGUCACUUCUGACUCCUUACAACCCCUUGUUAGACUCCGAUUGUUUCCUUAAGAAACUUUGUCACGCCCAUAAUGAAGAUAAAGACAGGGAAAACGGAUAUUACACAAUCCAUCUGUAUAGUAUGUUAUAGUACACUAGUACACCUAUCUGUAUAUCAUGCUGAUAGUAUUUAAAACCUGCAAAUGAUGUCUAAAGCCUUAAAUGUAUAAUAAUUGUACAUUUGUAACAUAUUGUAGACACUGUAUAUCCUGUACUUACUGCUUAUUGCAUUUCUGGUUAGAUGCUAACUGCAUUUCAUUGCCCUGUACCAUACAUAUGCAAU